UAUUUAAUUGCCAGAUGUUGCAGAGCAUUUACUCCUGUGAAGCGGUGACGUAGCAGUUGUUUCCUCCAAUCCACCUCUUUUCACUCAUCUUUUUUAUCGUAAAUAAAUUAAAAAUCUGUAGUAGCAAGAUAAACACGAGUUGCUUAACCAAAAGGUAAUCCAACAGAGGAGUAAAGAUGCAACCGACAGGCAGUGGCGGUGGUGGAGGACUAUCCAGAUUCCGGUCAGCUCCGGCGACAUGGCUGGAAGCACUGCUAGAAUCAGAAGAAGAAGAUGUAAUCAUUGACCCACCAAAACCACCUCCACAUCAGCAAGCUUCCAUUGCAGGCACCCCCACCCCCUCCAGACCUACUUACGUUGAUCCCAAUAUCUUCUUACCUAGCCGACAGAACAGCUCUCCCGCCGAAUUCUUUUCUGAGAUCAACAAUCCUGAUGCCUAUCUCUCCAAUUACGACGACUACCUCUCAUCGUCCUACCACAACGUUAAACCAUCCAGGGCUGUCGAUGUAGACGACCAACAACCCAAGUUCACCACACAGCUCAGCGGAGAUCAGAGCGCGUUGUUGGAUGUUGAGAUGGAUAAGCUUCUGGGGGAUUCGGUGCCGUGUCGAGUACGAGCAAAGCGCGGAUGUGCCACUCAUCCUCGGAGUAUCGCCGAGAGGGUUAGAAGGACUCGGAUUAGUGACAGAAUAAGGAAGCUCCAAGAACUGGUUCCGAAUAUGGAUAAGCAAACCAAUACGGCAGACAUGCUAGAAGAGGCGGUUGAAUAUGUCAAGUUUCUGCAAAGACAGAUUCAGGAACAAGGUUGGAUAAAGAGUUGUUCAUGAUCUCUCUUCUAGGCAAAAAGACGUGAAUGCCAUCUUCAUACUUAGCUUAUUAUUGGAAAUAAACCUAAAAAACUUAUCUAGUCCCGUCUUGUCAUAUCUCUUCUAACAAACGCAAACAAGUCGUGCACAUGUUGCAUUGGACAGGACUAGACGAGGUUUUUAGGGCUAUUUCGGAUGAGGUAAGCAUUCACAUCUUUGAACAGACAUGAGAUCAAGGACGAGUCCCCAUCCCACCUUGUUCUACCUUUUUGGGAGAUACAGAAAAAUUGCAAUUAUUUUCCCAUUGACAUCCAUCGGAGGCUGUAACAAUCAGGGCAUGUCAAGCAUAGAACUAAAGGAGCACCGAGACAAAUGCACAUGUGUGGUUGACGAUUGAUAACAGAAAAGAAGCUAACCUUUUUUUGAUCGUGGUUCAAGGGAUCAUAAUGGAGGACUAUGGUGCUUAUUCCAAAAUCUCAGAUCAAAUUAUAUUUUUCCUUUCUGAACCAAGGAAAUACCAUGAGAAGUGAGUAAACUAGUCAGGGGGUAUGUGUUGUUGGCCACUCUCACUUGUGUCAUUAGUACCAUCUGUUCUCCAUUACACCUCUAGGAUUUCCUUGCUAAAUAGUAAACUUAUCAAUGGCUAAUACUCUCACUUGUAUACUUGCUCCUCCUAGUUGCUUACUCUUCGUGUUUUCUUGGGAACUAUGUUAUCUUUUAAAA